UCACAUUUUGGACGACAUGCGAAACUAUGACGUUUUUACCCCAUUUUCGGACGAUAUACUAAACUAUGACAUUUUUGUCAAAUUUUGGACCACAUACUAAACUAUGACGUUUUUACCCCAUUUUCGGACGACAUACUAAACUACGACGUUUUUGUCACAUUUUGGACGACAUACGAAACUAUGACGUUUGUUGUCCAUUUUCGGACUACAUACUUUUAAACUAUGACGUUUUUACCCCAUUUUCGGACGACAUACUAAACUAUGACAUUUUUGUCACAUUUUGGAACCCAUAUUAAACUAUGACGAUUUUUGUCCAUUUUCGGACGACAUACUAAACUACGACGUUUUUGUCACAUUUUGGACGACAUACGAAACUAUGACGUUUUUAUCCAUUUUCGGACAACAUACUAAACUAUGACGUUUUUAUCCCAUUUUGGACCACAUACUAAACUAGGACAUUUUUGUCACAUUUUGGACGACAUACGAAACUAUGACGUUUUUACCCCAUUUUCGAGAGACAUACUAAACUAUGACGAUUUUUGUCCAUUUUCGGAUGACAUACUAACUAUAACGUUUUUUUGUCCAUUUUCUGACGAUAUACUAAACUAUGACAUUUUUGUCAAAUUUUGGACCACAUACUAAACUAUGACGUUUUUACCCCAUUUUCGGACGACAUACUAAACUACGACGUUUUUGUCACAUUUUGGACGACAUACGAAACUAUGACGUUUGUUGUCCAUUUUCGGACUACAUACUAAACUAUGACGUUUUUACCCCAUUGUAGACGACAUACUAAACUAUGAUGUUUUUUGUGACAUUUUGGACGACAUACUAAACUAUGAUGUUUUUACCCCAUUUUUGACAAAAUGCAAAACUAUGAUGUUUUAAUGUUCACAGUGGAUGUCAGAGGAGCAAGAGGUCAUGUUGCAAGAAGAGGACGUGGGUGAGCCAGACCACAGCCAGAGCCAGAGCCAGAACCAGAACCUGGACCUUGACCUGCCCAUGUACCUAAAUUUUGAAAACAAAGUUCAAAAUUUGACAAUAAAGUGCGCUUUUGACACAA